rnacentral:lncRNA from 1 species
GGUAGGGUUUUGCCGAUGCUUCCCCUAACCUGUGGAGGCAGUACCCCUGAGAACUAGGGAUGCCCUGGGGCAGAGUCCUGGAGACAAAUGGUGGAGGAGAUGGUACCUUACUGGCUGAAAAUGGGAACAGCAGAGAGCAGGUAGUGUGACAUGGUGGAGUAGAUGGUACCGCACUCACUGAAAAUGGGAACAGCAGAGAGCAGGUAGUGUGACAUGGUGGAGGAGAUGGUACCGCACUGGCUGAAAAUGAGAACGGCAGAGAGUGGCACUGGGAUUCAGUUUCUAUUUCCCUGAGUAUUAGUGAAAUGCCUGUUCAAAUCCUUUGCCGAUUUUUUUCGAAUGUGCUUUCCAACAUAUUAUCUUUUUUUAAUCUUAAAAGUAAUUGUUUACUCUGAAUACUAAUGCUUGCUAAAUAAUACUAAUAUAUUUUCCAGGCUGUGGUUUAUUUGAAACUUUGUUUAUGGUGUCUUUCAUUUAACCAGUUAUUCUUUUUUAUUGUGAGAUACGUAGACCAAAAAAGUACCCUAAAUGUAUUGACAGGCCAAAGUGAACACACCUGCUCUAGAGAGCCCACUGCCUGGAACUCCUCCUGUCACCUUCUUCCUGUCCCAGAAGCAACUGCCAGCCUGAGUUGUGUGGUCACUGUUUUCUUGCCUUUCUCAAUAGUUUUGCCGCCUAGAGUAUAUCCCUAAACAGUAUAUUUUGCCCUCUUUGAAUGUUUAUAGAAUCAUAUUGGAUGUCAUCUUUCUUAACUUGGUUUCCAUCACUAUUGGAACACUAUUCUUGUUGCCUGUGGCUGUUGUUCACUUGCAUGGCAAUGAAGUGUUACACAGCAUAGAGGGGGCCAAAAUUUACCCGUCUUCGGUGAACAUAUAUUAGGGAUGUUUCCCGUUUGGGGCUACUAUGGAAGAGGGUUUUAUGAACAGCAGUGCACAUCAACUAAGAUUUCUGUAGUGUUUUUCAACUGGCCCCUCGUCUGAACCACAGAACGGAAAUGAUUUGAAUAACUAUUUUCUCAGUUCUUUCAAGAAUGUUGUGUAACUAGUGCCAUCCUAGACACGUAUGACAGAGUUAGCUUAUUUCAUAUGUCAGAUGCCUUACUGCAGUAGGUUCUCAAACUUGAAGGCAGAAUCAUGGAGAGGGUUUGUGGAAACACAUGUUACUAGGCCUCACACCCAGAGAUUCUGAUUCAGUAGGUCUGGGGUGGGGCCCUGGAAUUUGCAUUUCUGACAAGCUCCUAGAUGCUGCUGAAGCUGCUAGGCCAUAGGGCACACUUCAAGAAUCUCUGCCUGAGGCAUUAGGGCUUAAUUCUCUGCAGAACCAGUUCACCCGUGAAGGAAGGAAGAGUUGAAUUGCAGGCUUCUAGGUUCUAGUAUCUUCAACUUUUAAUAAGUAAAUGCCAAAUAAUUUUUAAAUGGUUGUACCAAUUUAUACUCCUCUCAGCCAUACAUGACAGUUUCUGUUACUUCAUAUCUUCACCAAAACUUGAUAUUGUCAGGCUUUUUAAUUUUUGCCAGUAUGGAAGGUUAAUAAUGGUAUCUCAUUGUGGUAUCAGUUAGUAUUUCCCAAACUAUUAAUGCGAUUAAGCACUUCUCCAUAUAUUUAUUGGCAUUUUUAAUUUCCUCUUUUGUGAAGUUCCUGUUCAAAUCUUUUGACAUUUUUUUUUCUAUUGGGUUGUCUAUUUUUCUUUUUGGUUAGUAGUAGUUCUUUAUUUUGGAUAUUAGUUCAUUAUAUGUUAAAUCUGUUGCAAAGAACUUUUCCCAUUCCUUCUGGCUUUUUCAUUUUGGUGUCUUUUGAUGGACCAAAGUUCACUAUUUUAAUUUAGCUGAAUUUAUCAGUCUCCCUCUUUAAAGCUAGGGGUGUGUGUGUGUGUGUGUGUGUGUGUGUGUGUGUGUGUGUAAUGCAUAAGAAAUCCUUUUCCACUGUGAGGUCAUAAAGACAGUCUCCUAAAAUAUCUUCUGAAAGCAUUAGAGGCAGGGCAUGGUGGCUUAUGCCUGUAAUUCCAGCACUCUGGGAGGCUGAGGCGGGAGGAUUGCUUGAAGCUAGGAGUUUGAGACCAGCCUGGGCAACAUAACAAGACCCCAUCUCUAUUUUUAAAGUAUUUAAAUAAAUAAAUAAAUAAAUAAAUAAAAGCAUUAGGGUUGUGCCUUCCACAUUUAGCUCUUUAAUUCUCACCUGAAAUUGAUUUCUGGGGUAGUUUUAGAUAGGAAUCCAGUUUCAUUUUUCCCCAUACAUAUUCCUAAUUCCCCAGCACUGUUUAUUGAAAAGUCCAUCCUUGACACAUUGAUGAGCAGUUCCACUUGGUUGUAUAUCAAGUCUGUAGUCCUGAAUAAAUCUGUUUCUGAGCCUUCUGUUCUUUUUCUUUGGUUAUUUAUCUAUCUUUGGGCCAACACCUUACCUCACUGCCUCUGUUACAGAGGCAUUAAAAUGAAGUGUUGAUAUCAGGUAGGGCAAGUCUUUCUGUCUUGUUCUUGGGUCUGGUCUCAUCUUGGCUAGUUUUUGCUUUUGCAGUUCCAUACAAAUUGUAGAAUUAUCUUGUUAGGUUCUAUUACAUUUGAUUGGAAUUACAAUUACACUGACUCUUGGGGAAGAGUUGACAGAUCUACAAUAACAAAUCUCCCAAACCACAGAGAGAUGGCAAUUUCUCUAUCUAUAUCCUUUUAAACAUCUCUCAAAUAAGUUUUAAAAUUUUCUCCAUACAACUCUUACAUAUCUUAUGUCAGCUAUAGGCCUAAGUAUUCCAUAUAUUUGAUGCAAUUAUCAAUGGUGUCUUUUAUUUUAAAAAUAAUUUUCUGCUUGCUGCUGUUAUAUUCAAAUACAGUUAAUUUUUAAAUCUUGAUUUUUGUAUCCAGCAACUUUGUAAUUCAUUUAUAAAUUCUUGGGGAUUUUCUGUCUAUACAAGCAGGUCAUCUGGGAUAAUACUAAAGGCAGCACAGUGUGGUGGGAGAGUAUAGACUGGGGAACAGCACCGGCAGGCUCUGGACCUCAGCCCUGCCACAGAUGAGUGAUGUGUCUUUAGACACGUUCCAUGAACUGUAAAAUAAGGAGAGUAAUAGUACCUGCCUCAUAGGGUUGCUGUGAGAAUUGAGUCAGUAAAUGUAGAGCACUUGGUAAGUGUUACAUAAGUGUAUGCUAUUAUUGUAAUUACUUUUCUUUCCCUUCCAAUCAUGCUUUGUAUUUCUUGCCUUACUGCACUGGCUAGAACCUAAGGGACAGAGAUCAAGAAAGCUGGCAUCCCUGACCUCCUGAUCUGAAAGGAAAAGCUUUCAGUCAUUCAUCACUAAGCAUUUUGUCCACUGUGUGUUUGUCUUAAGAUUGCCUUUAUCAGAUUAAGGAAUGUCCAUUUUAUUCUUAGUUUGCCAAGAAUUUUUAUUGUCAUAGGAUGUUUAAUUUGGUCACAUCUUUUUCUGCAUCUGUUGAAGUAUCAAAUUAUUUUAUCUUAUAGUCUCUUAAUAUGAUGAAUUACAUUUGGUUUUAUAAUGAUAAACCAA